rnacentral:rRNA from 1 species
UACAGAGGUCUCAAGCGUUGUUCGGAUUCAUUGGGCGUAAAGGGUGCGUAGGCGGCGCGGUAAGUCGGGUGUGAAAUCUCGGAGCUUAACUCCGAAACUGCAUUUCGAUACUGCCGUGCUUGAGGACUGGAGAGGAGACUGGAAUUUUACGGUGUAGCGGUGAAAAUGCGUAGAUAUCGUAAGGAAGACCAGUGGCGAAGGCGGGGUCU